rnacentral:rRNA from 1 species
UGUGGAUAGCGGAGAAAUUCCAAUCGAACCCGGAUAUAGCUGGUUCUCCCCGAAAUAGUUUUAGGACUAGCCUCGUGAUCAAGAUUAUCGGAGGUAAAGCACUGAAUGGCCUAGGGGUCGAGAGAUUACCGAAGCCUAUCAAACUCUGAAUGCCGAAUAAUCAUGCACGGGAGUCAGACUGUGUGAGAUAAGUUUCAUAGUCGAAAGGGAAACAGCCCAGACCUACAGCUAAGGUCCCAAAGUACGUUUAAGUGGAAAACGAUGUGAAAUUGCGUAGACAACCAGGAUGUUGGCUUAGAAGCAGCCAUACAUUAAAAGAGUGCGUAAUAGCUCACUGGUCGAGUGACUUUGCGCGGAAAAUUUAACGGGGCUAAAACGUACACCGAAGCUUAGGCUUGCAACUAUGUUGCAGGGGUAGGGGAGCGUUGAAUGAGGGGUGAAGUCGUAGCGAAAGCGACGGUGGACUUCAUUCAAGUGAGAAUGCCGGAAUGAGUAGCGAGAAUUAUGUGAGAAUCAUAAUGGCCGAAAGCCUAAGGUUUUUGGAGGAAGGUUCGUCCGCUCCAAGUAAGUCGGAAGCUAAGGUGAGGCUGAAAAGCGUAGCCGAUGCACAAACGGUUGAAAUUCCGUUACCACAGAAAGAUUUAAACUAAGGGACACUUUUGAAGAGCUGAUGCCGGGUGUUGGUUACCCCGGUCGUAAGGGAACGAAAUUAAGUAGUGAAGUCAGCGUGGAUGAAGGCGAGAAAAGCUUAGUGUAUAUCUUAUGUGUCCGUACCGCAAACCGACACAGGUAGGUAGGAAGAGAAUUCUAAGGCCAACGGGAGAAGGGUAGUUAAGGAACUCGGCAAAAUGUCCCCGUAACUUCGGAAUAAGGGGAGGUUUCUACGGAAACCCGCAGAGAAUAGUCCCAGGCAACUGUUUAUCAAAAACACAGCUCUAUGCUAAAUCGAAAGAUGACGUAUAUGGGGUGACGCCUGCCCGGUGCCGGAAGGUUAAGAGGAGGAGUGAGAGCCCUGAAUCGAAGCCCCGGUAAACGGCGGCCGUAACUAUAACGGUCCUAAGGUAGCGAAAUUCCUUGUCAGGUAAGUUCUGACCCGCACGAAUGGCGUAAUGAUCUGGGCACUGUCUCAACAGCCCGCCCGGCGAAAUUGUAGUACCGGUGAAGAUGCCGGUUACCCGCGACUAGACGGAAAGACCCCAUGGAGCUUUACUGUAGCUUAAUAUUGGAUUUCGGCAUUUCAUGUACAGGAUAGGUGGGAGACUAGGAAACAUAGGCGUCAGCUUAUGCGGAGUCGUCCUUGGGAUACCACUCUUGGAGUGCUGAAAUUCUAACCUGCAGCCCUGAAUCGGGUUGGGGGACAUUGUUAGGUGGGCAGUUUGACUGGGGCGGUCGCCUCCAAAAAGGUAACGGAGGCGCUCAAAGGUUGGCUCAGCAUGGAUGGAAACCAUGCCAUAGAGUGCAAACGCAAAAGCCAGCCUGACUGCGAGACUGACGGGUCGAGCAGAAACGAAAGUUGGAGUUAGUGAUCCGGCGGUAUGUGAAUGGAAAUGCCGUCGCUCAACGGAUAAAAGCUACCCUGGGGAUAACAGGCUGAUCU